GAGUUUGAUCCUGGCUCAGAUUGAACGCUGGCGGGAUGCUUUACACAUGCAAGUCGAACGGCAGCAUAGAGAGCUUGCUCUCUGAUGGCGAGUGGCGAACGGGUGAGUAAUAUAUCGGAACGUGCCCAGUAAUGGGGAAUAACUAGCCGAAAGGUUAGCUAAUACCGCAUACGACCUACGGGUGAAAGCAGGGGAUCUUAGGACCUUGCGUUAUUGGAGCGGCCGAUAUCUGAUUAGCUUGUUGGUGGGGUAAAAGCCUACCAAGGCAACGAUCAGUAGCUGGUCUGAGAGGACGAUCAGCCACACUGGAACUGAGACACGGUCCAGACUCCUACGGGAGGCAGCAGUGGGGAAUUUUGGACAAUGGGGGAAACCCUGAUCCAGCCAUCCCGCGUGAGUGAAGAAGGCCUUCGGGUUGUAAAGCUCUUUCGAAAGUGAAGAAAACUUAUUUCGUAAUAUGUUAUGAGUAUGACGGUAACUUUAGAAGAAGCACCGGCUAACUACGUGCCAGCAGCCGCGGUAAUACGUAGGGUGCGAGCGUUAAUCGGAAUUACUGGGCGUAAAGCGUGCGCAGGCGGUUUUGUAAGUCAGAUGUGAAAUCCCCGAGCUUAACUUGGGAACUGCGUUUGAAACUACAAGACUAGAGUGUGUCAGAGGGGGGUAGAAUUCCACGUGUAGCAGUGAAAUGCGUAGAGAUGUGGAGGAAUACCAAUGGCGAAGGCAGCCCCCUGGGAUAACACUGACGCUCAUGCACGAAAGCGUGGGGAGCGAACAGGAUUAGAUACCCUGGUAGUCCACGCCCUAAACGAUGUCAACUAGUUGUUGGUGGAGUAAGAUCCAUGAGUAACGUAGCUAACGCGUGAAGUUGACCGCCUGGGGAGUACGGUCGCAAGAUUAAAACU
rnacentral:rRNA from 1 species